rnacentral:rRNA from 1 species
AACGAACGCUGGCGGCAGGCUUAACACAUGCAAGUCGAACGGACGUAGCAAUACGUUAGUGGCAGACGGGUGAGUAACGCGUGGGAAUGUGCCCUAUGGUUUGGAAUAACUCAGGGAAACUUGAGCUAAUACCGGAUAAGCCCGAGAGGGGAAAGAUUUAUCGCCAUUGGAGCAGCCCGCGUCUGAUUAGCUAGUUGGUGAGGUAAUGGCUCACCAAGGCGACGAUCAGUAGCUGGUCUGAGAGGAUGAUCAGCCACACUGGGACUGAGACACGGCCCAGACUCCUACGGGAGGCAGCAGUGGGGAAUAUUGGACAAUAGGGGAAACCCUGAUCCAGCCAUGCCGCGUGAGUGAUGAAGGCCUUAGGGUUGUAAAGCUCUUUUGUCCGGGAAGAUAAUGACUGUACCGGAAGAAUAAGCCCCGGCUAACUUCGUG